UACGAGGGGUCCUAGCGUUGUUCGGAAUCACUGGGCGUAAAGCGUAUGUAGGCGGCUUUUCAAGUCAGGUGUGAAAUCCCAUGGCUUAACCAUGGAACUGCAUUUGAAACUGUAAAGCUUGAGUAUUGGAGAGGAUGGUAGAAUUCCAGGUGUAGCGGUGAAAUGCGUAGAUAUCUGGAGGAACACCGGUGGCGAAGGCGGCAUCCUGGACCGAGAUUGACGCUGAGGCGCGAAAGCCAGGGGAGCAAACGGG
rnacentral:rRNA from 1 species